AACGAACGCUGGCGGCAUGCCUAACACAUGCAAGUCGAACGAGACCUUCGGGUCUAGUGGCGCACGGGUGCGUAACGCGUGGGAACCUGCCCUUAGGUUCGGAAUAACUCCCCGAAAGGGGUGCUAAUACCGGAUAAUGUCUUCGGACCAAAGAUUUAUCGCCUUUGGAUGGGCCCGCGUUGGAUUAGCUGGUUGGUAGGGUAAAAGCCUACCAAGGCGAGGAUCCAUAGCUGGUCUGAGAGGAUGAUCAGCCACACUGGGACUGAGACGCGGCCCAGACUCCUACGGGAGGCAGCAGUGGGGGAUAUAGGACAAUGGGCGAGAGCAUGAACCAGCAAUGCCGCGUGAGUGAUGAAGGCCUUAGGGUUGUAAAGCUCUUUUACCCGGGAUGAUAAUGACAGUACCGGGAGAAUAAGCUCCGGCUAACUCCGUG
rnacentral:rRNA from 1 species